AAUCUCUUCAGUAAAAAGAAAUAAUUCAUUUUUUCAGAAUUCCCAAUGUCGACUUUCUUUCUCACUUGUGAACUUCUCAUGGCCGAUUUUUAUUUCUGCUCAAUUUUCUGCUAAAUUUCUGUAAGACCUGUUUAUUUUUCUUGCUUUAGAUUCUUCACAGAAUCAAAUAUGGUAUAAGAGCAUUCUGAUUUAUUUGGUAUCAUCAGUUCAUUCAUUUUCAAGAAUCCCUAGACUCGCGGUGAAUCGUUCUAGUGGUGGAUCUCUAGCUGUUUUGUUAAUCAGAAAAUCAUGGACACUCCAGUUAUUCCUGGUGCAGUGAAGACAUAUGAGGUACUUACAAAUCCCUACUACCUGCAUCCAAGUGAAAGUCCGACAUUUCUGCUCACAUCGACCGUUCUAACAGGUAAUAAUUAACAGGUAAUAAAUUGCAAUUUAUGGACAGAAGUAUUCCUGUUACAUCGAAGGAUGAUCCUUCCUACCGUGCUUGGCAGCGUUGUAAUACAAUUGUGGUUUCAUGGAUAAUCUGAUCACUGUCUCCCUCAAUUAUUCAGAGUGUAAUCUUUAUUGAUUACGCCAUAGACCUUUGGAAGGACGUAGAGGAUAGGUUUGCUCAAGGCGACAGCGUCCGAUCUAGUGAUCUACAGGAUGAAAUUUCUUCAUUGAAACAAAAUACACAAUCUGUAACUGAAUAUUUUACUUAGAUUAAGAUGCUUUGGGAUGAAUUAGCUAAUCUGCGGCUUGAACUUAAAUGUCAGUGCAAUAUACAGUGUGCAUGUGGAGUAGGUGAUAUGUAUAAAAUAUAUCUAGAGGAGGAUAAGAUUAUAAAGUUCCUCAAAGGACUUAAUGAAUCCUAAAAUGUGGUUAGGUCACAAGUCCUCAUGACGGAGCCUUUACCAUCACUGAACAAGGUAAAUGCACAAGUGAUACAACAUGAGAGAACACUUAACAUUGGACACUCUGGAUCUUCAUAUGAGACCAAUCUGUUUUAUGUGAAUGCUAACCAACAGAAUAAGAAUAAUAAUUGGCAGAAUAGGAGAAUUACUGGAGGACUGAAUAACAGCAGCAAAAGGCCAACUUGUACACACUGUGGUCUCAUUGGUCACACUGUUGAUAAGUGUUACAAGAAGCAUGGUUGUCCUCCAGGCUAUAAGCCUUGAACAAGAAACAUACCGCAUGUAAAUCAAAUCGGCACUUAACCGGUUGAGAAUGAUCUUGAGACGAGGAACUCCCAAUAAAAUUUCCACUUUUCAAGCAAUGUCUCUAAGGGAGUGUCUUCUCUUUCCACUAAAGACCAAAUCAAACACUCCUGGAACAAUAUUAGAAACUUCUGUCCCUGUUUCAGCAUACUACCUCUACAUCUUCAUCUGUAGCAAUCAAACCUGUCAUGCCACGAGUGAACACCCUUACUGCCAACUUUUAAUCUGCACAAUUAGAAGUGAGCAGAUUUCAGUUUCACAGCCUCAAGAUACUGCAGUACCAAGCACUCCUGCUGAAUCACUUCGUUUGGGUAAUGUCUCUCACCCUUCCUUUAAUGACAUAUCCCCUCUUUCUUUUACACAACAUAAUGAUGAUCCUAUAAUAUACAGCCCAUAGUCUUUCCAUAUUCCUGAACCUAUUAGUCAGAAUAAUGUGCCUGUUAGGAAAUCAACUAGGUCUACAUGACAUCCAUCUCAUUUAAGUGAUUAUUAUCUUUAUGUUUUGAAGUCUUAUGUCAAUUCUACAUUCACACCACAUUACAUUUUCCAGUUUAUAUCCUAUGACCAUGUUGAUCCCACGCAAAAAUCUUUCAUUUUUGCUAUCUCACAAGACAUAAACCUCAAACCUAUCAUCAAGUCAUAAAUUUCCCCUGUUGGAGAGAGAUAAUGUCUAAUGAGAUUAAAGCCUUAGAAGAGAAUAAAACCUGGGAGUUGGUUGAUCUGCCUCAUGGAAAAACAUCCAUUGGCUGCAGAUGGAUCUAGAGAAUAAUAUAAAGCCCGAUUAGUGGCUAAAGGCAAUUCCCAGCAGUCAGGAGUUCAUUUUUUGGAUACUUUCUCUCUAGUUGUAGAACUGACUACUAUCCGUACACUAUUCGCUGUAUCUACUGUCAAAGGCUGGUAUUUACACCAGUUGGACAUUAAUAAUAUAUUUUUACAUGGAGAUUUAAAGAAAGAAGUUUAUAUGACUCUGCCCCUUGGCUUCAAAGCUAAUGGUAAUCAAGUAUAUAGACUUAUCAAAAGCUUGUAUGGUCUUAAGCAAGCAAGUAGGCAAUGGCACUUUAAUUUAAUCGAUGUUUUAAAGUGUCAUAGAUUCACUCAAGCUACUUCAAAUUCUUCCUUAUUUCUUAAAUAUUCAACAUCUUCAUUCAUUGCACUUUUGAUAUAUGUGGAUGAUGUUAUGCUUGCAAGCGACAGCUUGAAUGAGAUUCAAUCUGUCAAAGAUUUUCUUCAUGUUGAGUUCAAAAUUAAAGACCUUGGUGAGUUGAAAUUCUUUUUGGGCCUUGAGGUUCCUCCAUCAUUAGAAUGAAUUAUAUAUCUCAAAGAAAAUUUUUUAUGGAUUUACUAAAUGAUGCUGGAUUUCUGGGUUGUAAGCCGGCUCAUACACUAAUGGUUUUUCCUACAAAGCUGAUCAAGCAAGAUGGUGCACCUCUUGAGGAUGCUACUCCAUGUCGGCUGAUUUGUUGGUAAGCUUUUAUACUUUACUAACACUUGUCCAGACAUCAAUUAUGCUGUUCAAUAGCUUUUACAAUUUUUGGAUGCUCCUACUACAAUCCAUUUACAAGCUGCAGAUCGAGUUUUGAAGUAUCUUAAAAGUAAUCCUAGUCAAGAAUUUUUUUAUUUUGCUCAAAACUCUUUGCAUUGUAAAGCUUUUAGUGAUUCUGAUUGGGCAUCUUAUGUUGACUCUCGCAAGUCCUUUACUGGAUUUUGUGUUUUUCUUGGUGACUCCCUUAUUUCUUGGAAAACUAAGAAACAACAAAUUGUUUUUGGUCUUCUUUUGACGCUGAAUACCGUGCUUUGACAAUAGUAACUUGUGAGUUACAAUGGUUAUAUUUUUUGCUUUGUGUGAUCUGCAUAUUGAUUCAUCUACUGCAGCUGUGUAUUGUGAUAAUUUGUCGGCUCUCAAAAUUGCCAAUAAUCCUGUUUUUCAUGAGCGAACUAGAUAUAUAAAAAUUGAUUGUCAUAUUAUUAGGCAGAAAAUUUCAGAUGGGCUUCUUCACUUGCUACCUAUUUCUUCUUCAAGAUAACUUGCAGAUUGUUGUACCAACGCGCUUCGUCCUUUUAGGUUUCAACAUGUUAUUGUCAAACAGGGUAUCCAGAAUCUGCAUACUCCAUCUUUAGGGGGGCUAUUAGAAUAUUACACCCAUGGUAUAUAAUGUAAAUGCUUACAAGUACAGGAUUUCUUUUGUAAUUUUACUUUCCAUGUAUAAAUACUUUCUCAUCUCUUUAGUAAAAAGACAGAAUUCAUUUUUCCAAAA